GAUGAAGAAUGCAGCGAAAUGCGAUAAGUAAUGUGAAUUGCAGAAUUCAGUGAAUCAUCGAAUCUUUGAACGCACAUUGCGCCCCUUGGUAUUCCGAGGGGCAUGCCUGUUCGAGCGUCAUUAUAACCCCUCAAGCUCAGCUUGGUGUUGGGGCCUGCCGCACGGGCAGCCCUUAAAAUCAGUGGCGGUGCCAUCUGGCUCUAAGCGUAGUAAUUCUUCUCGCUAUAGAGUCCCGGUGGAUGCUUGCCAUUAACCCCCAAUUUUCUAUGGUUGACCUCGGAUCAGGUAGGGAUACCCGCUGAACUUAAGCAUAUCAAUAAGCGGAGGA
rnacentral:misc_RNA from 1 species